GACGAACGCUGGCGGCGUGCUUAACACAUGCAAGUCGAACGGAAAGGCCUGUCCUUCCUUGUGUUGGACGGGUACUCGAGUGGCGAACGGGUGAGUAACACGUGAGUGAUCUGCCCCCAACUUGGGUAUAAGCCUGGGAAACUGGGUCUAAUUCCCGAUAGGACUGCAGGGUGGUGCCUGUGGUGGAAAACGAUUUUCUAGUGGUUGGGGAUGAGCUCGCGGCCUAUCAGCUUGUUGGUGGGGUAAUGGCCUACCAAGGCGGCGACGGGUAGCCGGCCUGAGAGGGUGGACGGCCACAUUGGGACUGAGAGACGGCCCAGACUCCUACGGGAGGCAGCAGUGGGGAAUAUUGCACAAUGGGCGGAAGCCUGAUGCAGCGACGCCGCGUGGGGGAUGACGGCCUUCGGGUUGUAAACUCCUUUCGACCGCGAGGAAGCCGCCUGGUUGGAAGGGUGGUGACGGUAGUGGUAGAAGAAGCACCGGCUAACUACGUG
rnacentral:rRNA from 1 species